GGCUGAGCCAAGCGUAUUCACGACACACCAACUGUCACUUCAGCGAAAAGUAGGCUGACCUGUUAGCAGAAAACCCCGUGAAGAAAAUCACAUCGAUAUUAUGAGGUGGAUCACGAUCUAGAAGGACCCCCCCACCCCUCUCCAAACACGCCAGCCAGAGGGCGCCCCUGCAUGAAGAGUGAACAGGAAAUGUAUGUUCUCUUGGAAAUUCUUACAUCUUGUGGCGGUCAAUCAUGGGCACAAAAAUCUAUCAAAAAAUAUGAAACUAGUGUGAUUGCAUCAUUCACUGUUGAUCAGU